ensembl:processed_transcript Gm14488 predicted gene 14488
AUGCAAAUCUUCCUGGAACUCAGACCAGGCUGCUGCUUCCUUCAGCAACAGAACUGGCUUCCAUGUUGAGUUCCCUGCCACAACGUGCCCCACUGAUUGCCAGCUUCCCCUGGAUGCCACCUUUUUGUCUCAUCCCCCUGUGGCUCUGGGCUCCAGCCAUUGGCCCCAGCUCUGAUUAGGUAGGGCACAUUCUGUUCCUUUCUGCGCUGGGUCUUUGCACUCUCCACUUGCUUGGCUUGGAGUCCUGUUUUCUGCCCCUCACCUCCUGGGGGUGGGGCGUCCCUGAUCCCCACCCCCACUCCCAGCCCAGCAGAAAUCACACAGCAGGAGCUGAUUAUCUGCGGAGUAUCCGGUGGCCAGCUAGCUUCCCCCCGUGGCCAGUGUGCAGCAGGAAAGCUGCCCGGCAGCCAAGCUUGCAGCUGCUCCUCUGGGUCUCAGCAGAAUGCCCAGCAUCAUGGAGGACCACUGGGUGCUGGAGGGGAUCUCUGGAUCUCAGCAGGCCCCUGGGCUCUCUAGUCUUCAUCAGCACUGCCUCCCGCACAGCCCCCUUUAUAAAGGGACCUCAUGUUCCCAUUCUCCAGGACAAGGACACUACGCACAAAGGUUCUUUGACACAAAAGGCGAGUCACAGACCCAGAUCAGAACCCAGGUGGUCCACCUCCCUCCUUCUAGCUACAGACCGAGGGGGCAAUAUCUUGCUGUGGGUCUUUGGGCAAAUGUCUCAACCUCUCUAGUGGAAGCUUUGCUUUGUAUAGGACUGGCCAGAGGGGUGGGUGAUCAUUUGAGAUUCUUCCCAGUUAACAUGGGGCUGGGGGUGCUGUGAUUUGUGACCUUCAGACAGUUCCUCUGAUGGCCUGACCUGCAGCUAGCACCUACCUCCAAUCAUUCUCCCAGGCUUCUCUAUGAAGUGCACCCUGCUUCACUGCCAAGGAGACAAGGCAGGGAAGCCUGGUGGUUAGAACACCCAGCUUCAGGGUGGGCCAAGUGCAGAUCCUGCCACCUCCUUAGCAUAGCAGUGUGGCUUCAAAGGGUCGCUGUCCACCAGGCUCUUCAUCUGUCACAACUCAUUGAGCUCUGGGUGCUUCCUGGGUUGUGAGGACAACGCCAGCACUUGGCUGUCAUGUCAGAAUGGACACAAGGGCUUUGGUCCACCUGCCUGUGUUCUCAGCUUAUCAGUCAAGUUAACCACGUGGUUGAAGAAUGUCAUCUCCACUCAGAUGAGUUCCCCAAAUCAAACUGAGAAGUUGGACCUGAGUACUUGGUCAGACCACCAAACUGUCCUACCUUUCUGUCUCAGGUCUAGCCUGAGCAGCUAUCACUCUGUCACAGGUCCCGCCUGUGUUGGUGUUAGCCUACCAAAUCCAGGACUUGCCUUGGCUAUCAGGUCCUGAGGUUCAGAGAUACAAAGCUAAAGGUUUGGGGGGGCCGAGGCUAGUUAUUCUGGGGUGAGGUGGGUAGGAAUUGGAGCAGGGUUCUUGGUUUCCCAUGCCAUAAGAUUUAUAUUUGUCACCUAAAGGUCCUCUCAACAGCACUGGGACACCACUCAGGUCCUCAGCAGGGCAUGGAGACUUGUCUGAGCUCACAAGAAGGAGGUGAAACCCCAAGUUCACUGUGGUUUUUAAACACAUUUGUGUGUGUGCGCGCACACAGGUAUGCACAUGCAGGCAGAGGCCAGAGGUGUAGGGUCCCUUGGAGCUAGAGUUGUGGACAGUUGUCAGCUGCCUGAUUUGGGUGCUGGGAACUGAACUCAGGUCCUCUGGAAGAGCAGCAACUGCGAACCACUGAGCCAUCUCUCCUGCCCCUGCUCCCCUUGCGUUUGCUCUGAAGCACCCUGCUUCCUGCCCAGGUAAACGCAUGCACAUCGUACUGAGACAGGGAAUGGAACUGAUAAAGAAAAUUUCAAGAUUCUCACAGGUCCAUACCUAACACGCUCAAGGGAUUCUUACUCCCCAAAUCUUUCGUUUUCUUUUGUUUUCAUUUUUUUGAGUCAGAAUCUCAUGUAGCCCAGGCUAGCUUUAAACUUGCUAUGCAGCCAAGGAUGACCUUGGAUUCCUGGUCCUUCUGCCUCCAUAUCCUGAGAGCUGGAACUGCAGACCUAGGCCAGCCUGCCUGGUGUGAUGUGGUGCCGUGGACAGAACCCAGGACUUUGUACGUGCUAGGCACACACUCUGCUCGUGGACCCACCAUUCCUCGCUCCCAGACAUGGUCAUUAAUGAGCAUGGGGGCUCCUGGGUCACAUCCCAGCAGCCUUCCCUCACACUGCCCUUAUUCCCUUGUUUCCUGUCUCUGCUUGACUCUGGGUACACUGAGGGUAACUGGAUCCUUGCUGCAGACCCUCCAUGCAUGGUUCAGGUCUAAGUGAGGGAGGGGUGAUGCAGACCUUCCCACUCUUCUACAGUCUUGGUGUCUCCCAGCUCUACAUGUGAAAGGAUGUGCCCUGUUCUGAAUCUGAGUGCUGGAUUCCUGCUGAUCCAAAGGAGAGGGAGGCCUUAGUACUCAAAGGAAUGGGGCUUGGGGGGUGGGAGGUGGAGGUGGAGGGGUGGCUCGUCUGUAGGGGCUGGUUACACCUACAUCUCUCAUAAGCUCACUCACCUUUUUUGGCCAUACAGGAUUCCCACCAUGACAUUGCUGUGUUUUUACAAGGACAAAGCCAAACAGCCCGAGAACCUGCCAACUGGAGGUUCUGGAACACUCUCUGCGUGGUCUUCCCGAGCAAGUCUUCCAGGUUGGAACCUCUGGCAGGAGCAGAGGCCAUGACUUGAACCCGGACCUGUCAUCGGUAGUGCUCCCAACUGCAGUCAUCCCUUAACAGCUGACCAGGUUCCAGGUCUCUUCCAGCCUCUGUUUACCCAGCUUGCACAAUCAGCUCAUAAGUCUACAAUUUUUUUAUUUUUUACUCUG